GUGGGGAAUCUUCCGCAAUGGGCGAAAGCCUGACGGAGCAACGCCGCGUGAGUGAUGACGGCCUUCGGGUUGUAAAGCUCUGUUAUAUGGGACGAACGGGCAUGGGGCGAAUACCCCCAUGCAGUGACGGUACCGUAAGAGAAAGCCACGGCUAACUACGUGCCAGCAGCCGCGGUAAUACGUAGGUGGCAAGCGUUGUCCGGAAUUAUUGGGCGUAAAGGGCGUGUAGGCGGCCAGACAAGUCUGUCUUAAAAGUGCGGGGCUCAACCCCGUGAUGGGAUGGAAACUGUCGGGCUAGAGUGUCGGAGAGGAAAGCGGAAUUCCUAGUGUAGCGGUGAAAUGCGUAGAUAUUAGGAGGAACACCAGUGGCGAAAGCGGCUUUCUGGACGACAACUGACGCUGAGGCGCGAAAGCCAGGGGAGCAAACGGGAUUAGAAACCCGAGUAGUCC
rnacentral:rRNA from 1 species